rnacentral:misc_RNA from 1 species
CAUGAUUUAAUGAAAUGUUGACUUUGAAUGUAAUAAUUUGUUUUGGUCUGUACUACGGAUAAAAUACAACUAUUCCUUCAUGGCCAACCAACCUGAAAGCACUAAUGAAGGUAAAUGGAUUUCUCAAGAAAUUAGAGGUAUAUAUGUAUAUCUGCGCGAUAUGGUGAAAAAAGUUUAUUUGAUUUCUCAUCUUUCUUUAGAUUUUAACGAUUCAUUCAACAUGCAUGCCAUUCUUGAUACUCUACAUGAUGAACUCGUGGGGCCAAGUGACCAAAAUUUGAUGAUGGCCAACUCUGGCUACAAUGUAGAAUAUCCAUCCAGGAUGCCGAUGUCUCCAAUGGCGAAUAUAGACGUAGUAAGUUCAUUCUAUAAAUGGAGGUAGCGUCAUUAAGCUAACACAUCAUAGUAAAAAUAGAAUAGAAAAACAAACUGUCUCAUGCAAGUCAUUUUUCAAAUCAUUUUCGAUUAAUUCACAACAGAAACCCCAGAUAAACACUUGCAGAAUAGUGGCAGGUCCAGCCCAAAACAUGGGUGGGAUGCCAGGUACCAGUGCCAAUCUUACCCCAGGAGCCACCGGAGCUCAACAACCCCGAUAUUCUGUGGCAGAAAAACGUAAACUUAUCCAACAACAACUAGUGCUGUUGCUGCACGCCCACAAAUGUCAGAGGCGUCAGCAGACCUAUGGAGGGGUGUGUUCUCUACCUCACUGCAGAACAAUGAAGAACGUGCUAAAUCACAUGACGACUUGCAAUGCUGGGAAGUCCUGUCAAGGUAAAAUUGCAAUAAAGUUAAUAAAAGAAUAUGAACGAAUGAUCAUUGCUUUAGUUUUUGUAUUUGUUUUGUUUUGUUUUGGGUUUUUUUUACGGUGGCAUAUCUCUGUCCCUUGUGUGCAAGUUGUUUUUCCAUCAAACAUAUCGACAUGCAAGAUAAUUAUGUUGAUAUGCAAGAUAUAUAUGUCACCAUGCAACUAUGCAUGUUAACAUAAGUAAGUUGCAUUUCGACAUAAAUAAGUAGCAUCUUAGCAUCUUUGAUGUCAUAUGUGGGCGAUAUUUGAGAUUUUUUUAAUUCUCAUGUGAUUGUAAUUUUCUUGCAUGUCAACAUAGUUAUUUUGCAUGUUGACAGAACUAUCUUGCAUGUCAACAUAUUUAUCUUGCAUGUCAACAUAUUUAAUAGAAAAAUAAUUUUCACACAAGGGGCAGAAAUAUGCCACCUUAAUUUUUUUUGGGGGGGGGGGGGGGUAUUUAUAGCAUCUUGUUCUUUAUUAAUGAACUAGGUUCUUGACAAUGUAGAACUUAGAAUUUUUGUAUAACAUACAUAUACCUUAAUAACUGAAUCUCGCACAUAGACAUAAGUAGCUGUAUGUAUAAAGAUAUCCAGUACAUAUCCAACUUUUUCUAUUAUUGUUAUUUUACCGUGGCGAAAAGUUCACUUUUCAGAUAUCCAUAAAAGUAUUAGAUAUAGGGUAAACAUAUACAGCAUUUUUAUUUAUAGUUUUUCUUAUCUCUUCUUUCAUUUUAAAAUGUUUGUCCCAGUAAUUCCUGAUAAACCCUUGAAAAAGUGACCCAUUUUCAUGCGAUGUAAUGAAUUUACUAGGGUACAGAUACAUACCCGGCAAUACUGUACUGCUUAAUGUUUUACGGUGACACGAAGAAAGCUUACAUGGUAAAAAAAAAGCACACGGAGGUACUAAUAACCGUCAUUAGUGUAGUGUUUUGAUUACCAGAAAAUGAGAGAUUUUGAGAAAUACAAAAUUAAGCACAAUGGUUCUAUCGAGGUUAAAUAUGUAGCUUUAUUCGUUUCAUAAACCAUUUUUUUUAUUAAAUAUUUUUGUAUAUAAUGUCAUACCAUGUUGAUGAAAAGUAAAAAGAAAUUAUGUAUAUUUUUGAUCUUGCAUUUUUCUUGCAGUCGCUCACUGUGCAUCAUCUAGACAGAUAAUAACACAUUGGAAGAACUGCACUAGAAAUGACUGUCCUGUGUGUAUGCCAUUAAAGCAUGCCCAAAACACAGACAGGACUGGACAGAAUCCAGGCAAUCUAAGUUGUAAGGAAACUUCCAAACAUUCCGCUGCAACAGAUUUUAUUAAUUGAAUGUUCAUAACACAUAAUUAUGAUAUUCAUUAAAAUGAAAAUUCAUU